UAUUACUAUUUUUUAUAUGACUGCAAAAAAAAAAAAAGGUCGUAUGACGUUGGCGUCGUCGUCGUCGUCCAAAUACACAUUAGUUUUGGCACUCUAACUUUAGUUUAAGUGAAUGGAUCUCUAUGAAAUUUUACCAUAAGGUUCAAAACCACAAAAGGAAGGUGGGGAUUGAUUUUGGGGGUUAUGGUACCAACAGUUAAGGAAUUAGAUAAAUAAGCAUUUUUGUAACUUCCAGACAUAACUUGUGUGUUAGUGUAUGGAUCUCUCUGACAUUGUACCACAAGGUUCCAUAUCACUAAGGGAAUGCUGGGAUUGAUUUUGGGGGUAAUUGCCUCCAAAUUUUAGGAAUUAGGGGCCAAAAAGGGGCAAAAAACAAGCAUUUUUCUAGUUUCCAGACAAUAACUUGUGUGUAAGUGUAUGGAUCUCUCUGACAUUGUACCACAAGGUUCCAUAUCACAAAAGGGAAUGCUGGGAUUGAUUUUGGGGGUAAUUGCCUCCAAAUUUUAGGAAUUGGGGGCAAAAAACAAGCAUUUUUCUAGUUUCAUGACAAUAACUUAUGUUCAAGUGUAUGGAUUUUUAUGAAAUUGUACUACAAGGUUCCAUAUCACAAAGGGAAAGCUGGAAUUGAGUUUGGGGGUAAUUGCCCUAAACGUUUAGGAAUAAGGGGCCAAAAAAAAGCAUUUUUCUAGUUUCCAGACAAUAACUUGUGUUCAAGUGUAUGGAUCUCUCUGAAAUUGUACUGCAAGGUACCAUACCACAAAGGGAAGGCUGGGAUUGAUUUUUGGGGUAAUUCCCAUUAAAAUUUUAGGAAUUAGGGGCCAUAAAAGGGCAAAAAAACAAGCAUUUUUCUAGUUUCAGGACAAUAACUUGUGUGUAAGUGUAUGGAUCUUUAUGAAAUUGUACUGCAAGGUUCCAUAUCACAAAGGGAAAGCUGAGUUUGAGUUUGGGGGUAAUUGCCCUAAAUGUUUAGGAAUUUGGGGCCAAAAAGGGGCCAAAAAACAAGCAUUUUUCUAGUUUCCAGACAAUAACUUGUGCUCAAGUGUAUGGAUCUCUCUGAAAUUGUACUCCAAGGUACCAUACCACAAAGGGAAGGCUGGGAUUGAGUUUGGGGGUGAUGAAUCAUUAGGGGGUUCAAAAAAUUUGGAGGGGGGGAUUUUUUCUUCCUUUUUAGCUCACCUGGCCGGAAGGGCCAAGUGAGCUUUUCUCAUCACUUAGCGUCCGUUGUCCGGCGUCUGCGUUAACUUUUUACAUUUUGAACUUCUUCUAGAGAACCACUGAAUGGAAUGAAACCAAACAUGGCAUGAAAGUUCCUUAUGAGGUGCUGACCAAGUGUUGUUACUUUGUAGCGGAUCCAUCAUCCAAGAUGGCCGCCAGCGGGGGACUUAGUUUAACAUAGGACCCUACGGGAAAUACAUACAAAUGUCUUCUUUUAGAGAACCACUGAAUGGAAUGAAACCAAACAUGGCAUGAAUGUUUCUUAUGAGAUGCUGACCGAGUGUUGUUACUUUGAAGCCGAUCCAUAAUCCAAGAUGGCCGCCAGCGGGGGACUUAGUUUAACAUAGGACCCUAUGGGAAAUACAUACAAAUGUCUUCUUUUAGAGAACCACAGAAUGGAAUGAAACCAAACACGGUAUGAAUGUUCCUUAUGAGGUGCUGACCGAGUGUUGUUACUUUGAAGCUGAUCCAUAAUCCAAGAUGGCUGCCAGCAGGGGACUUAGUUUAACAUGGGACCCUAUGGGAAAUACAUACAAAUGUCUUCUUUUAGAGAACCACUGAAUGGAAUGAAACCAAACAUGGCAUGAAUGUUCCUUAUGAGGGGCUGACCAAGUGUUGUUACUAUGAAGCUGAUCCAUAAUCCAAGAUGGCCGCCAGCAGGGGACUUAGUUUAGCAUUGGACCCUAUGGGAAAUACAUACAAAUGUCUUCUUUUAGAGAACCACUGAAUGGAAUGAAACCAAACAUGGCAUGAAUGUUUCUUAUCAGGUUCUGACAGAGUGUUGUUACUUUGAAGCCGAUCCAUAAUCCAAGAUGGCCGCCUGCAGGGGACUUAGUUUAACAUGGGACCCUAUUAGAAAUACAUACAAAUGUCUUCUUUUAGAGAACCACUGAAUGGAAUGAAACCAAACAUGGCAUGAAUGAUCCUUAUGAGGUGCUGACCGAGUGUUGUUACUUUGAAGCCGAUCCAUAAUCCAAGAUGGCCGCCAGCGGGGGACUUAGUUUAACAUGGGACCCUAUGGGAAAUACAUACAAACGUCUUCUUUUAGAGAACCACUGAAAGGAAUGAAACCAAACAUGGCAAAAAUGUUCCUUAUGAGGUGCUGACCAAGUGUUGUUACUUUGAAGCUGAUCCAUCAUCCAAGAUGGCAGCCAGCGGGGGACUUAGUUAAACAUAGGACCCUAUGGGAAAUACAUACAAAUGUCUUCUUUUAGAGAACCACUGAAUGCAAUGAAACCAAACAUGGCAUGAAUGUUCCUUAUGAGGUGCUGACCGAGUGUUGUUACUUUGAAGCCGAUCCAUAAUCCAAGAUGGCCGCCAGCAGGGGACUUAGUUUAACAUGGGACCCUAUGGGAAAUACAUACAAAGGUCUUCUUUUAGAGAACCACUGAAUGGAAUGAAACCAAACAUGGCAUGAAUGUUCCUUAUGAGGUGCUGACAGAGUGUUGUUACUUUGAAGCCGAUCCAUAAUCCAAGAUGGCCGCCUGCAGGGGACUUAGUUUAACAUGGGACCCUAUUAGAAAUACAUACAAAUGUCUUCUUUUAGAGAACCACUGAAUGGAAUGAAACCAAACAUGGCAUGAAUGAUCCUUAUGAGGUGCUGACCGAGUGUUGAUACUUUGAAGCCAAUCCAUAAUCCAAGAUGGCCGCCAGUGGGGGACUUAGUUUAACAUGGGACCCUAUGGGAAAUACAUACAAAUGUCUUCUUUUAGAGAACCACUGAAAGGAAUGAAACCAAACAUGGCAAAAAUGUUCCUUAUGAGGUGCUGACCAAGUGUUGUUACUUUGAAGCUGAUCCAUCAUCCAAGAUGGCAGCCAGCGGGGGACUUAGUUUAACAUAGGACCCUAUUGGAAAUACAUACAAAUGUCUUCUUUUAGAGAACCACUGAAUGCAAUGAAACCAAACAUGGCAUGAAUAUUCCUUAUGAGGUGCUGACCAAGUGUUGUUACUAUGAAGCCGAUCCAUAAUCUAAGAUGGCCGCCAGCGGAGGACUUAGUUUAACAUAGGACCCUAUGAGAAAUACGUACAAAUGUUUUCUUUUAAAGAACCAUUGAAUGGAAUGAAACCAAACAUGGCAUGCAUGUUCCUUUUGAGGUGCUGACCAAGUGUUGUUACUUUGAAGCUGAUCCUUCAUCCAUGAUGGCUGCCAGAUGGGGACAAUGUUUACAAGGACCCUAUGGACAAUACAUACAAAUGUCUUCUUUUAGAGAACCACAUACUGAAUGGAUUGAAACCAAACAUGGCAUGAAUGUUCCUUAUGAGGUGCUGACUAAGUUUUGUUACUUUGAAGCUGAUCCUUCAUCCAUGAUAGCUGCCAAUGGGGGGACUUCCU